ACUUAUGUAGUUUAAAUAAAAUUUUGACUUGUGGCGUCAAGGAAACAAGAGUGUAACUUGUCUUAGGUC
rnacentral:tRNA from 1 species